rnacentral:misc_RNA from 1 species
GCUCUUUAAUAUCAUCUGCUAAUGGAGUUUUGAUCUACCUGUUUUUCUGUCUGAUCCACCUCCUGCACCUUCACACUAUCUUCAUAUGGAGUUUGAUCUACUUCUAUGGUAUUGUUUAUCGGGCCUUGUGGGGUCCCAAAAAGUGUGCUGAAUAUCUGCCUAUGGCAUUCAUCGCAAAAAUAGAAAUAUGUGAAAUGGCCCUCGUAUGGGAGCUUAUGCACUGCAGCCCCUGGGAGAAUCCGGUGUACAAAAUCAGUCGUUAGUGGUGGAACGACCUUAUCAUCCAUCCCCUGCCAUACAUGUAUGGGGCCAAGGAAACCUGUGUACUCU